rnacentral:rRNA from 1 species
GAUGAACGCUGGCGGCGUGCUUAACACAUGCAAGUCGAACGAUGAAGCCCAGCUUGCUGGGUGGAUUAGUGGCGAACGGGUGAGUAACACGUGAGUAACCUGCCCUUAACUCUGGGAUAAGCCUGGGGAACUGGGUCUAAUACCGGAUAGAAGCGCCUACCGCAUGGUGGGUGUUGGAAAGAUUUAUCGGUUUUGGAUGGACUCGCGGCUUAUCAGCUUGUUGGUGGGGUAAUGGCUCACCAAGGCGACGACGGGUAGCCGGCCUGAGAGGGUGACCGGCCACACUGGGACUGAGACACGGCCCAGACUCCUACGGGAGGCAGCAGUGGGGAAUAUUGCACAAUGGGCGAAAGCCUGAUGCAGCGACGCCGCGUGAGGGAUGACGGCCUUCGGGUUGUAAACCUCUUUCAGUAGGGAAGAAGCGAAAGUGACGGUACCUGCAGAAGAAGCACCGGCUAACUACGUG